rnacentral:lncRNA from 1 species
AUGGUGCCAACAGCUGUUACUGCAACUACAGAAUCAAAUAGUGUAAAAAAUCAGACUGAUUUCCCUGCUGAAAAAGAGGGAUCAACUCCUCAAGAUGCGGUCUCAACGUCACUGCCUGCUCCUGAGGCAACAGAAGCAACUAACGCAACAGAACUUACAGCGGUUUCCACAACACCACCAGUAUUACAAUCAGAAGCCCAAACAGAUACAUCACAAUCAACAGAAGCUGGACCUAAAGAGACAAAGAGCCCUGAAGCCUCUACUGUCACCAAAGAGGCAGGAGCAGAAACUGGGAAAGCUAAAGAAACAGCGACUCCAUCAGAGACUCCACAUGUAGAGGUGGAGACUGAAGGUAUGGGCACAGGACAGUUGGUGGGGAUCGUAUUUGGCGCUUUGAUCACAGUGAUUGUUGUCAUUGCUAUUAUCAUCUUGGUGGCCAGAAGAAUGGGCCAAUACUCGUAAGUAAUUAUAUUAUUAUGAACAGGAAAUUAAAUAACAUUUUCAAGGUAAAAGUAUUUUUAAUAAAUAUCAUUAGGAGAUAGUUCACGCAAAAAUUAAAAUCUUUUAAUUUUUACUCACAUUCAUGCCAUUCCAAACCUAUAUGAGAUUCUUUCUUCUUUGGAUUUUUUAAUAAUUGAAAAAUGUCUGUUUUUAGCCCAUAGAAUGAAAGUCAAUAGGGUCCAACAUUGUAUUGAUAAUAAUUUCUAUGUUGUAGGACUACAAAGAAACGAAAGCCUCAAAAACAAGAGAGCAUCUUGAUCUCUGUAACUGUUUUACGGUUUCAUUGAUAACCCAGAUUAAUUAGUGUAGCCCAGUUGCUCAUAAAAUGUUAAACAUGUUAGAGCUUGACAAAACUAUGUUGCAACUCCAAGCGGUCUUCUACAAAUUGCAAAUAUCAGAGAAAGACACACUGCAAAUAUACUGUUUUUAAAUGGAGAUGGAACACUGUGCUGUUCAUGCUAUAUUAUUUGUGCUACUAACAUGGUGUCGCACAAAAAACUAAAUAAUCUAAUGAUCUAAAAAACAAAACUUUACACAUUUUGUGUGUCUGGAUCAUUACUGAAUCAAAUUCAUGAAUGAAACUCAUAAAUGCAAUAUCAAUUUUUAAUAACCUAUUUAAUGUACAUUAUCAUGUACUGUAAUUUUUUCUUUGUUUAUCGUUGUCUGUCACAUGGAUAAAAACAAGUUUGUGUCUGAUGCUGGUGUAUUUGUGCUAAACUGCUUUUGCUCUUUCCUUCUUUUCCAGACCCUAAAAAGAAAGGCCCGACAGGACGAGAAGAAGAAGAAAUUCUGGAAGUUAUGAACUAUUGUUCUGAUGUUUAAAACAAUGCAAGCAGCACUCUCACCACCCAUCCAGGACUUACACGGGGAGCAGGAGAGUGUCCCAUCCCCUUUCCCAUUGAAAAAAUGCCCUCCCCUUUUUUUGUCACCCUGAAAUCCUCAUUUAUCUCUCAACAGGGGAGGCCAGAGGAUGUUACAGUAUAUAUUUUUAAUGCAUAUUAAUUUAACGGGAGAUGAAUGAAUAUGGAGUUUGUGAAGGGCCUAAUAAACAAAAACAAAGAAACAGCUGCCCAUGCAAGCAAAAGCUUAUAUUUUUUUUUAUUCCACUGAUUAUUAAUAACAUACAGAAAAAAAAACCUAAUCCAAAAGCAUUUAUAUUUUCUUAAUUUCUCUUUUUCCCACUUCAACAGUUGUGUCCAACAGGACUAUGACGCAUUAGGUACAGUCUAUGAACUGUCAUAAGCAGAUGCUAAGGACACAUUCUGUUCUCAAGAUGUGUAAGUGGCAUUAACUAAUAAAUCUUUUUAAAUUAUUAGUUAAGGGGAGCAGCACACUAUAAGUGCUUGAGAUUUACUCUUUUGAAGUGCAUUAAUACGGAGUGACUUGACCGUCUUGUUCUAAACUGUCACCCAUUCCAAAAGUGACAUCACUUCCUCUGGAACACAUCUUUUAUUGUGUGUUCCAAUCAUCUUAACUCCAGAGCACAGCUGCUAUUGGCAUGUAUCUCUAAAAUCCUGAUGUUCCUCAGCCUGGACUAUAUCAUUUUAACAGAAUACAGACAUUUUGCAUGGUAUAGUUGUUUGCAUUUCUUUUUGUCAGUGUUAGGGUUUGUGUUUCUUACCGGCGUUCAGAUCAGUAGUUGCACUGAAUGAUGAAGAAUAACAUGUUUAAUAUUUUAGAAGACACUGCAACUGUUUGUCAAAGAUAUUUUGUUGUUUUUUUUUUUUCUUUUGCCAGAUUCCUCUUUGUAUCCCGUUGCUCCAUAAUUGCAUUUUACCUAUUUGAUGUCAGAAUCCAGUUAAAGCAGAGUGUUUGUCUUUGUAUUUGGGGUGGUGUUUUUUUCUUUAUUGUUCAAUCAAUUUAAAUAAAAAAAGUUACUAAAGUAUGUUGCACUUCCAUAUUGUGUUGUUGUGGAUCCCAGAUUACAUUGUCUGUUUAUUGGUGUUUCAGCCCCUUUUACUCACCAUUCCAGCUUUUCACACACAUAGUCUCUUUCUCACACAAACACACACCCACACAUUCCCUCUCUCUGUCUCUCUAAUCCCUUAGGAUAUAAAGACUGUAAGAGACAAGUGAGAGAGAGGAAGAGCCAAUGAAUAAAGGCAUCUUUGUAAAUAUGACUAUGUACUUAGGUGACCUCUCUGGUUAAGUAGAGUAAAUAACAUGAGGGUCCCAAACAGCUGCCCCCAAAACGUAUGGACUUUCAUUUGGAAGUGAAUCGGAACAAAGUGUUUGUCAGAUUAUUAUUAUUUUUGGCCUUCUCAUCACUUUUCCAUUUCAGAUUCCAAAUGUUUUACUUCACUUAAUGCGCACAUGUUUUUAUUAAACUAUUUUGUAAACACAUGUUGUACUGUGGAUCUUAUUGUUAGCGAUUAUCCAUGUUUAAUUGUAUUUUUUGACCUUGUCAUGUUUAAUUAAAAUGGCAUAUCUCAAGCUUCCUGUGAAAACAAAUUGUAUGCCUAAGUAGAUCGUAGAAACCCCUGGCUCAAAUCUGUGAUUUUCUUACGCUUACAAUGCUUUUGGAAAACGCAGCCCAAACCAAAGCAGGUGUCAACUCACUGAUUCAACGAUGCAGUCAGAGUGAGUCUCAACCUAACAAAUCACUAAAUCAGUGAAUGUCCAACUCGAAAUGAGCCAAGAAGCGAAAAAUCACAUGAUCUUUUGUGCUGGUGUGUCUUCGUCCAUUAAUAAGAUAACAAAAUAUAAAAAUCAAGUGCCAAUCAUUAUAAAUAAAUUUUAAUACACACAUAACUUUUGAGCAAAAUUAUAAAUAUAAAAUUUUAAAUAUACAAUUUUGAACACUUUCUGGUUGCCAAAUAUUAGUGGAACAUGUUCAUAUUUAAUAUGCACUACACCUAUGUUGUAGUAAAUUGUAGUUUGCUUAUACUGGUCUUGAAAUUAGUCCUCCAGUAUUGAUCAUUUACUAAUCUGUUUUUUUAAUAUCUAAAAUAUCUCAUUCUCUCUUUAUUAAUUGAAAGCCCUCUAAUAAUAAACAUGAUGAAAGUCACUUUUGCUUGUGUUUUUGUGAGUGAGCAUGUAUGAGGCUGAAUGUGGUUUUAGGCAGUAGCCCAGCUACACUCUCUCUCUAGCUAUGAACAAUGGACUCUUUUAGUGGGAGACCCACUCUGACGUCCUGCUCACAGUCUAAACUCUAAAACUGUUUAUUUGUGAUAAAAUGAUUUCUACAUUGCGAGUGAGAAGGGCACUUCCUGACCAGUAAAAGCCUUUAUGCACACUCACAUGAACACACAGGAAAGACCUAGAAGUUCCAGAACACAAAACAAUGUCUGGAUAUGCACACACACUGAAAAAACAAAUAUACACACAAUUUUGCAAAUUGUAAAAAUAUAACCUCAGUGACAUCACAGGUUUGUAAGCAGAUUAGGUAGACUGAAUAAAUGCUUGCAGAAAAUAGGGAACACAGACCCUCAGACAAUCCUAUCAAGUCCUGCUAACACAAACACACACAUACAUGUAUGCUAAAACUAUAAAACACUACAGUUAAUCCUUAAUCAUGUAUAUUUGAUUUUUAAACAUUCUCUUGUCCAAUUCCUCUCUGUGACUUUGGUAAAAAUCACAAAUAAAUACAUUUUUAAUCUCAUUUCCCUAUAGUAGAGAAAAAAUCACUUUAUCAAAGUUAUUUCUC